UGCUCACAUUGAAUUCCAUCAGCCAUUUCCUGGACCACUCUCCCAAACUGUCUAGAUCCUUCUGCAGCCUCCCUCACUCCUCCCUUCAGGAACAAGUACUCCAUCAGGCUGGUGAAUGAAGGUGGGAAUGCCAUGCAUGUGGGGAGUAAAGACUGGCCCCCACUCAGAUAUGAUGUUGCAGAUUGUGUCUGGUCUCAGAUUGGUCUCACCAGCCACCAAACCAGAUGAAAGCAAGGCACUCCGGACCCCAAGGGACUGCCUGAGAAGAAGAUAAGUGCACAGAUACCUCUGAGGAACCUUAGAGUGUCUGCGAACUACACAAGGAACACUGGUCUGGAUGGCCUGUGAUUUGGUGCUGAACCUGAGGAGCAUUUAUUUUUCAAAAUAUUGUUUAUAGCAAAAAACACUUUAAUUGAAUCUCCUAAUUAAAUGCCAACAUCAUAGGGCAAAAAAGCUGAACAGCAUAGUUUUUCUGUAAUCACAAGUACGUAUUGCAGUUAGGAGAUGUGAACAUGUAGUGAUGUGAUUGGAUAAUAUAGUCAUGUGCACUAAUCUGGAAUGUAGACUAUUCCAAUAUGGUUGGGUACAGAUAGGGGUGAGUAUGUAUGUAACCCUUUGA